AUUGAACGCUGGCGGCAGGCCUAACACAUGCAAGUCGAACGAGUGGCGGACGGGUGAGUAAUGUCUGGGAACCUGCCUGAUGGAGGGGGCUAACUACUGGAAACGGUAGCUAAUACCGCAUACCAUCAGAUGUGCCCAGAUGGGAUUAGCUUGUUGGUGGGGUACAGGCUCACCAAGGCGACGAUCCCUAGCUGGUCUGAGAGGGUGACCGGCCACACUGGAACUGAGACACGGUCCAGACUCCUACGGGAGGCAGCAGUGGGGAAUAUUGCACAAUGGGCGCAAGUCUGACCCAGCCACGCCGCGUGUAUGAAGAAGGCGUUCGGGUUGUAAAGGUCUUUCAGGGGAGAAGCGGUAUCCAAAGAAGAAGCAACGGCUAACUCCGUGCCAGCCUCCGCGGUAAUAC
rnacentral:rRNA from 1 species